UCACCAGUUGUUGUGCAUUCUAACUGGGUAUUGAACAAUUUUAAGGCAUACAGUGGAAUUUGUUUUACUUAUUGCUUCUCGUUCCAGACCUAAGUGAACAUAUUUAGAAAAAAAAAUCAUGUUUGAACCUUCAUAUAAAAGCUUAAGAAUCCCUGAGCUAAACUGACAGGCAGGGCAAAGGAGGCAAUAAUCAGAGAAGCUGCCAAGAGCCUCAUGGUAACUCUGGAAGAGCUGCAGUGCUUCAUAGCUCCAGUGGAAGAAUCUGUUGACAAGGACUCUUAACCUAAAUCCAAUCUGCGGAUUGCAUGUUAGCUAGUUACUUAAGCGCCAUGCAGUCAGGCUCCUCUGUGUCACCAAUUUGUUUGGUGACGUUUAAAAGCAGAGUGCAACUUCUUCAAUAAAACUUUGAUGUUGUGUUUUCCAAGUGGCUUGACAGACUGCUUAUUAUCCGGGGUCCGUGUUAGCGACGGGCACAAAGCAGAAACAAACAUUAGCGCUGUUUAAUUAUGCAUCACAACUUGCGGUUUUAUCACAAGAUUGAUACGCUUUCCUUUUAUUGUGCAGACCCGGAGAGCUACACACCAAAAGACUUGGGACUUUUAAUUGCGUCAAAAAGUACUUUUACUACACUUUUCAGAUUCACAAACAUUUUAAAAACCAUGCAACAUUUCCCUUCUGCUUCACAACAACGCGUUUAUUGUAGCGCUCUCUCACAUGAAGCCUAAUUGAAACAGUGCAAUUUGUGACAAAAGGAGAGAAAGUUUGAAGGGAUGUAAACACCACUUACAAGAAUCAAUAGUUUUUAAUGAUGGCAAAAUUAAGCAGCCUAAUUGAAAACAGACAAAUAGGACUGCUGCGUCCCUUAACGUUUAUUUUCUGAUCCAACUGAUCAGCCAGGACGUAAAUUAGCAUCAGGAAUGUAUCGAGCUUAAAGGUACAUAGUAAACUGAAAGUUUUAAAUAGGAUCAAAGUCCAGUUCUACAGUCAGUGUUUCUAUUUGUUCCUCUGUGCUACAGCAGAUCGGCGAAAACAAAAGAGGAAGGGGCUUGUUGCAAACUUUCCAGAAAAACAGCAAGAAAUAAAAUGUUACAUUUUUUAUGUCUUUUGCAAGAAACAUUGAAAACUGUUCCUUAGAAUAAGAAUUAAAAAAUCCAUUGAUGUUAUAAUAGCACCAGUUUGAAGGAAAACAAGGUAAACAGACCAGGUUUUUUUUAUUCAAAAUAACAAAA